CCUACGGGCGGCAGCAGUGAGGAAUAUUGGUCAAUGGGCGCGAGCCUGAACCAGCAAAGUAGCGUGAAGGAUGACUGCCCUACGGGUUGUAAACUUCUUUUAUAAAGGAAUAAAGUGAGGCACGUGUGCCUUUUUGUAUGUACUUUAUGAAUAAGGAUCGGCUAACUCCGUGCCAGCAGCCGCGGUAAUACGGAGGAUCCGAGCGUUCGCCGGAUUUAUUGGGUUUAAAGGGAGCGUAGGUGGGUGGUUAAGUCAGUUGUGAAAGUUUGCGGCGCAACCGUAAAAUUGCAAUUGAUACUGGCAGUCUUGAGUGCGUUUGAGGUAGGCGGAAUUCGUGGUGUAGCGGUGAAAUGCUUAGAUAUCACGAAGAACUCCGAUUGCGAAGGCAGCUUACUAAACUGCCACUGACGUUGAGGCUCGAAAGUGUGGGUAUCAAACAGGAUUAGAUACCCGGGUAGUC
rnacentral:rRNA from 1 species